rnacentral:rRNA from 1 species
AUUGAACGCUGGCGGCAUGCUUUACACAUGCAAGUCGAACGGUAACAGGCCGCAAGGUGCUGACGAGUGGCGGACGGGCGGGUAAUGCAUCGGAACGUGCCCAGUCGUGGGGGAUAACUACUCGAAAGAGUAGCUAAUACCGCAUACGAUCUAUGGAUGAAAGCGGGGGACCGUAAGGCCUCGCGCGAUUGGAGCGGCCGAUGUCAGAUUAGGUAGUUGGUGGGGUAAAGGCUCACCAAGCCAACGAUCUGGAGGUGGUCUGAGAGGACGACCAUCCACACUGGGACUGAGACACGGCCCAGACUCCUACGGGAGGCAGCAGUGGGGAAUUUUGGACAAUGGGCGCAAGCCUGAUCCAGCAAUGCCGCGUGCAGGAAGAAGGCCUUCGGGUUGUAAACUGCUUUUGUACGGAACGAAACGGCUCUGGUUAAUACCCGGGGCUAAUGACGGUACCGUAAGAAUAAGCACCGGCUAACUACGUG